rnacentral:rRNA from 1 species
GAUGAACGCUGGCGGCGUGCUUAACACAUGCAAGUCGAACGGAGUUUAUACGGAAGGAGUCUUCGGACACCGGAAGUAUAAACUUAGUGGCGGACGGGUGAGUAACGCGUGGGUAACCUGCCUUAUACAAGGGGAUAACAGAGGGAAACUUCUGCUAAUACCGUAUAAAAAUAUUUCACGCAUGUGAGAUAUUUGAAAGAUUUAUCGGUAUGAGAUGGACCCGCGUCUGAUUAGGUAGUUGGUGAGGUAGAGGCUCACCAAGCCGACGAUCGGUAGCCGAUCUGAGAGGAUGACCGGCCACAUUGGGACUGAGACACGGCCCAAACUCCUACGGGAGGCAGCAGUGGGGAAUAUUGGACAAUGGGGGCAACCCUGAUCCAGCGACGCCGCGUGAGUGAAGAAGUAUUUCGGUAUGUAAAGCUCUAUCGAUAACGGAAGAAGAUGACAAGCCGCUAAGGAAGAAGCCCCGGCUAACUACGUGCCAGCAGCCGCGGUAAUACGUAGGGGGCAAGCGUUAUCCGGAUUUACUGGGUGUAAAGGGAGCGUAGACGGCAAAUAAAGUCUGAAGUGAAAUCCCGCAGCUCAACUGCGGAGUUGCUUUGGAAACUUAUAAGCUGGAGUGUCGGAGGGGUAAGCGGAAUUCCCAGUGUAGCGGUGAAAUGCGUAGAUAUUGGGAGGAACACCGGGGGCGAAGGCGGCUUACUGGAAGAUAACUGACGUUGAGGCUCGAAGGCGUGGGUAGCAAACAGG